CAUUAUUAUUCUUCACUGACCGCGUAUUUCAACGAUAAUUUCUUUAAACCUCAAUUCCAUAAAAUCCGGCAUAUGCAAUUAUAAAGUUAGACAACCAAAUACCCUUGGAACACCCAAUGCUGAGCUCCAAAUAAUUGGAAUGGUGAAACGUACCCAGACUUUGUGGACAGCCUGUAUAAUUUCACAACUGUGAUACCCAUGUCAGUGGCAUGUAAAAAGCACCAUCUGAACAUGGCCGAUUCCAGUGCUGCCUAUAAAACCAACUGAUGGCCAUUGCUAGCCUCCUCUGGCCCCUGUGCCGGUGGCACGUAAAAAGCACCCACUAC
rnacentral:lncRNA from 1 species